CAUCCUCUCUCUCUAAGAUAUGGAUCGUUAUGAUCAAUACGAUUUAUAUCUUGGCAAGGAAGCUUUAGUAAUGUUGUACACUUGUGAUGUAUACGAAAGUACAUAUUUGUGAUGAGACAGAAAUGCAUUGUCAUCCUUGUAUGCAGGAUUAUAACCAUUUCUGUGUAGAUAAAAAUUUAUAUUUUUAUCUUUAAACGUGAAGUAUUUUUAUCUUCAAAAUAUGACGAACAAAUUAUUCAUAAAAGUUUGGUUGAUAAUAUGGGAUAACCAUCGUUAUGGAAAGUGAUCAAGACACUGAUCUUGCAAUUAAUUGGCAAAAUAAAAAAAUUGUGAACGAUGAAUAUUUAAUCGAAGUAGUUUGCAAACGUUUUCCAUCACAGAAUUUUAAGCAUCCUCUUGUUCAACGAAGCCUACAAAUAAAAAAAAUGCUAUGAGAAGAAAUAUCUGCAUCAAUGAUAGCAGCAUUUAUAAGUAGUCAUGAUUUUAGAUUAAACUUUGUUCAUAUUGAAUGUAUUUUUGUCUUUUCUAGGUAAAAUGGACGUUACAACUAUAAAAAAAAGAUGGAAAUCGUUAAACGAUAUUUUCAGGGUUUAUCAUAAAAAUAAACAACAUCAACCAAGUGAUUCAGCAAGUGACAUCACGCAAAAAUAGUUGAGUGUACUAUGAACGGAUGCAGUUUCUUAGCGAUGUACAACUUGAAAGCGAGUAUGUAUGUAUAAAAACUAUAACAAAUAUCUCAGUAGCUGGGACCAUAAUUCCGAUCAAUUUAAUGACGAUACUGUUUUUGAUAGCGCGAAUAGCAACAGUGGUCGUGGAUCGCGCGCGCGCGCGCGCGUAAUAAGCGUCUGAGUAGUUCAGACCAUGAGGAAACUAUUGAACGACUUGCUGAUGUUCUCAAACAACAGUUAACGUCCCACCGAUUGUUCCUCCGCUACCUAUGGAUAAAGCCGGUUUAUUUGGCAAUCUUAUAGCUGCCCAACUUUGAGAGGUUCCUCUACAAUUUAUGGAUGAUAUAAUGAUAAAAGUGCUGCAGAUUAUUAAUACCGUUAA